rnacentral:tRNA from 1 species
GCGGGUGUGGCGGAACUGGCAGACGCGCUAGAUUUAGGAUCUAGUGUCUUCGGGCGUGGGGGUUCGACUCCCUCCACCCGCACCA